UAUUGAUUCGCUGAUUUUAAAAUUUGAAAUAAUUUAAAUUACAGUUUUAUUUAUUUUUGAUAAUAUUAAUUCGCUGAUUUUAUAUUCAAAUGAAUUUUAAACCCGGUUACUCACGUGUGCAAUAUGUACUAAUAUCGAUAUUUUGUAAAAACUCUCGAUAACAAUUAAAUCCUAAAAAAUCAGUCCCUAUUCGUAAUUUCGUAAUCUAAGUUGCCCUACACUUGGAUUAUAUAGACAUACUGUUGAUAUUCCGUCGAUUUUUCCAAAACCUGUUUUAUCUGCAGUUAAUCAAAAGCUUUCCGUGUUAUUUUAUUUUUCACAUUUUUCGAAUCUAUAUAAAAUAUUUUAAAAGUUCAUUCAUUCUCUUUGAAAGAUUACAGACAAAGUAUAUACUAUAGCUGGUUUGGGUGCGUCUACUGAAUAGCUGGUAAUAUCCGCGGGGGAUUUAAUUACGCUUUAUUCGCGCUCAUUAUAUAUACAUUUAGCGCGAAAAUAAAUACCUAACGAACAUUAAUAUAUAGACGCAAAUAUGUGGAAAUGUUUAUCGUAGAAUGUUAACAAUGUUGGUUGCGCGAAAUGUAAUACCCACGAACUAAAAUAAGUCUGACUAGGACAACCGCGACAUUUGAUACCCGCGAACUAGGCGUGACCGGGACAACCGCGAAAUGUAUUAACCGCUAACAAGGUCGGACCGGGACAACCGCGAAAUGUAUUAACCGCUAACAAGGUCGGACCGGGCAACCGCGAAAUUUAAUAACCGCUAACAGGGUCGGACCGGGACAACCGCAAAAUGUAUUAACCGCUAACUAGGUCGGACCGGGCAACAGCGAUAUUUAUUAUCCGCUAACAAGGUCGGACCGGGCAACCGCGAAAUUUAAUAACCGCUAACAAGGUCGGACCGAGCAACCGCGAUAUUUAUUAACCGCUAACAAGGUCGGACCGGGCAACCGCGAAAUUUAAUACCCAUUAACUAGAUUUGACCGGGACAGCCGCGAAAUUUGAUACCCGUGAACUAGGUCUGACCAGGACAACCGCGAAAUAUUUACCCCGCGAUAUUUAACAACUAUACAGUAGAUCCAGUGUAUCAAGUUAAUUAUCAUCAAUAACGUAACGCCCAUUAUACAACAUUGUAUAAUGUUUGUGUUUCGUUUUCUGAGGUAGGUCAUUUAUACUUGGUAUCCCCUCAAAUGAUUUCUGACACCUUAUAUCCAAUAUCUGUUGUAUGUAAGAUGACACAAGGAUGAAUUACACUUAUGCACCACUCGUACAUCAAUUUUACAGAUGAAAUAAGUAAUGCUUUUUUAAAUCAAGUUACCAAAGUCUUUCAUUUCACGUAUCUUAUUAUUGCAUUUUUAUUAUUUUUUUUUUUCAUUUUUUUUUUUUUUUUGUGCUUUUUUUCUAGUUACCCCAUUAAAUUUAUUAUUCAAAAUUACGACUUCUAUACUAUGUAGAUUCAGAACAAGAUGGCGGUCCCCCGUUAGAAAAUGACGGAUUUUGGGAAUCCCAACUAAAAGGACAAUUUGUAUUUAAAUAAUUACUUAUCAUGAAUUGUGAACGAAACGAACAUGUGUAAAUAAUGUAUGUGAAGUGGUCCAAAUUAACGAGGAAUGUAUGAGUUUAAGGGAGAUGACUCUUGUUUACAAACUGUAUUUAAUUUAUUACUGCUAGCGUUGUACAUAGAUUUAUUUAUUAACAUGCGUGUGUUUGUUGUUGGCCGGUGUAAUGUGGAUGAAAUCAGAAGCAGAUUGACUGUUGUAUGUGAGGCGGAAUGAAGGACUGAUUUUGUACAUAUAACGGAAGUUUGUAAAUGAGUAUUUGUUAUUUAAAGAUGCUACGUCGCUGACAGUGUAUAAACGACUUCUCACAAAAAUGCAUACCCAAGACAUGGAAUAUAUCAAAUCAACACCAUCAAGUGAAAAGACAACGAAAACGAUAUUAUAAUGAUCACCUAUAAGACCUCAAGCUACAUACACAAUCCAGAGAUGAAUCCCAAUUGAACUUCUCCGGGAUAAUUAAUUGGUGACACAUUAGAAAUAAAAAGAUAAAUUCAGACUGUUAGGGUUUGGUAAUAGCUUGAUGUAAGUAAGUUUUAGUUUUGUAUGAAGGUAUACAUCAGGCUAUUCUUGUUCUUUAUUGGUCAUUAUCACGCUUUCGUCGGCGAUGUGGCAUCUUUAAGAAACACUUAAAUGUAACAUGAAGGCCAAGAAAUAAAUACAUUUAUUACGUUUGGAUGGUCAUUGGACUGAGAUUGAACACUUUAUGAACUACAAUUAAUAUUUUAAUUUUCAGGAUCAUUUUACCAUUUGUUGUAGAAUAUUUUGUAUAAAACCUAUUCCCUAUUUUUUAAUACCAAAUAUGCUUUGAAAUGAUGACUGUAUUAAUACGUUGGUUGGAUGAUUUCAGAAAUGUUCACUCUGUGUCAAAUAAAAGUGUUCCAAGAGGGAUAACUCUGUUUUGAUUAAAACAAUCCCGGGAAUCGCGACUGGGUAUGCCAAUUCUGUUUUCAUAUUGAAACAAAAAUUAAAACUAUAUCUAUUUUCAUAAACGUUAAAAAUUAGCAUUACUUAGUAAAAAAAACCCAUAAGAUUUGGUAAUCUUUCAACAAUUCCUCGAAAAUACCAUUUCAAACUUCAGUGUUAGUAGCUUAUUAAGCUGAACAGUGUCUGAAAAAAAACUGUCUCCAAGUUGUUAGGUUAAUUGAGAUACCAUAAGUGAGGUUAUAUUAAAACUAAACAGAUGUGAAUACAGGGUUCGUUAAUGUAUGUAGAAAUAUAGGUUACUUAUAUAAUUAUCAUCGAGUGAAAAUGUCGAUACAAUAAGAUAGUAAAACAAUGUCAAUUUGAUGUAUUACCGACAUCUAACGUAUUACAUACGACUAUGCAGCUAUUGAUUUAGCAUCGUGUGGUAGGUAUGUCUGACGUCACCAGUGAUGGACAGAUGCAAUUUUUUGACGUUAUAUUACCUUAAUUUAAUGUUCACAUUGUUGGGAAUGUAUAUGAAAUCAACGCCAGAGAGAUGAUUGAUUGUUGGAUAUGUAAGGUACGGGUGAGGAAUACUUUAUAACACUUUAUCAUUUAAAACAUUUUCGUUUAACUAUCAACUGUCUCUUGCUAAGUAAUAUAUUUCAACACCAAAAACGUCAUGUUAUUAUACAAUGUUUGUAAUCCAGCAAUGGAAAUCUACCAGAUUAAAACAUUCCAAAAUGAU